rnacentral:rRNA from 1 species
AUAUACCUGUAUUCUAACAACAUCACAAUUUUAUAAGACAAAAUGUAACUGAUAUUAGUACUUCAAAACAAAAUUUAACCAUAAAUACCCGCAAGGUCAACUCGCACCAUUAAACUUUAGAAGUGAUAUGCUCACCUACCUUUUGCAUAAUGUAAUUGCAAGAAAAAUCAAUUUUAAAUUGUUUCCCGAAAAGUGGAGAGCUACUAUAAACAUUGACUUUUAAUGUAACACUAUUAAUAACACAGUCUAUAGUAGCAGCGAAAUACCUAUCGAGCCACUUGAUAGCUGGUUAUUCCUAAAAGACAUGUAAGUGUCUUCUUACAGCACAAGUUAAACCUUCCUUGCUGUAAGCAAAACCCUGAGAAGGACAAGCUUCUUAGGGCAACCAGAAAUAAUAAAUAACAACACCUCAUAAAGGCUUAAAAACAGCCAAACAUAUCCGUUAUAGGAAAUGACACUAAAAACCAAAAUAAAACACAAAAUUCUACCUACCAAGGAACCUAAAAGAGUAACCAAACCUUUAAUGAACUGGCAAUUAUUAGUAUCUCAACAGAGCACUUAACAAGUUAUCCUAUAAAUAAAAUAACCUCUUAAAACCAAACCAACCUAACUUACCAUUGGUAAUGAAUUCGGCAAAACCUUUCUUUGCCUGUUUAUCAAAAACAUCGUCUUUUGCCACCUACACUUAUAAAAGAUACUGCCUGCCCCAUGAUUACUUAAAUUAAAUGGCCGCGUUAGCGUGAGCGUGCUAAGGUAGCGUAAUAAACAGCUCUCUAAUUAGGAGCCAGUGAAUGGCCAAACAAAGAAAAACUCUAUCACCAAUGACAAGAAAAUUUUUCUUCUAAGUGAAAAGACUUAGAUGAAAGAAAAAGACAAAAAGACCCCGCGGAACUUCCUUACAGCUUUAUACUUAAAUUUAAACUUACGCUUAUAGCUAAUUGGUUGGUUGGGGCAACCUUGGAGCAAACAAAACCUCCGCCUAUUCAAAAUAACCAUAUAAAACUUACUAUGGACUACACUCGCAGUUACCCCGGGGAUAACAGCGUAAUCCAACUUAAGAGUACGAAUCGAAAGUUGGGUUUGCGACCUCGAUGUUGGCUUAGGGAAAGCAAUUUGGCGCAGCCGCUAAAUUUACAAUGCCAGUCUGUUCGACUACUAACCCCCUACAUGAGCUGAGUUAAGACCGGCGAGAGCUAGGUUGGAUUCUAUCUUUUCUUUUUUAAACCAAAUUCUUUAUUGUACGAAAGGACCCAAAGAAGCACUUAAAAUAAGUGUCCUUACUUAAACCAGCACAAUAACUCAAUCCAAAAUCCA